UACAGAGGUCCCAAGCGUUGUUCGGAUUCACUGGGCGUAAAGGGUGCGUAGGCGGUCGGGUAAGUCUGACGUGAAAUCUUCAAGCUCAACUUGGAAACUGCGUCCGAUACUAUUCGGCUAGAGGAAUGGAGGGGAGACUGGAAUACUUGGUGUAGCAGUGAAAUGCGUAGAUAUCAUGAGGAAGACCAGUGGCGAAGGCGGGUCUCUGGACAGUUCCUGACACUGAGACACGAAGGCCAGGGGAGCAAACGGG
rnacentral:rRNA from 1 species